rnacentral:lncRNA from 1 species
CUCAGCUAGGUUGAGGAGAAAAAUACAAACCAUUGACAGCUACAUUGAUAGCUACAAUGAUAGUCUAGAUGUGGUAUGGGACUCCAGAUGGAAGUACUGAAGAUUAAACAGAUGUUGGAAGGUGAAGAGAUGGGAGGGGAGAAUGAUGUACUGUUUAACUUAACAACCUGGAUCUGACUAUGUAGGUCAAGUAUUGACCCCAACCUACUGCAGCUAUUUUGGACAAGUUCGAACCUACAUUUCUUCACAGUCUUCUUAUACGAAGAACGGCGCUAAGUGCUGCUGCAUACAAAUUUGUGAGGAUCAAGUGAAAAUAUGCUAGAAAUCAGCCAGCACACAAUGCGUAGUCUAUGGAGAAAAUAUUUGCACAAAAUUACUUGGAUCAUUUUUAUGGAAUCACAACUUCUCUCCCAGUCAUUUCAGAUGAUGGAUAGUUAUUUUAUUCCUUCUAACAAAAUAUCUCACUCAGCCUGGGUUGCACAGAGGAGAACAGACAAACUUUGAGGGGAAGACGGAGGCAAGGGACUGGAUGACCUUGGAGAGACCUUGAGAUCCAAGCAAUAGCACCGUGGCCCUAGCACCCAGCAGUAACAGGAGCUUGCAGGAGUCAAACAUCUGAAGAUAUUGCCUUUUUUACAAGAUCUUCCCAAGCAAAAAGAUUAUGACUCAUUGAAGGUUCGGAAGAUGGUUAGCAUUUUUUAGCAAUAAAGCAUUUUUUAAUUAAG